rnacentral:rRNA from 1 species
UAACGCGUGGGUGACGUACCUAUUGGUGGGGAAUAACUGCCCGAAAGGGUGGCUAAUACCGCAUACGUCCACUGCUUCGUGGCAGUGGGGAAAACCUCGCAAGAGGUGCCGAUGGAGCGGCCCGCGUUCGAUUAGCUGGUUGGUGGGGUAACGGCCUACCAAGGCGACGAUCGAUAGCUGGUCUCAGAGGAUGAUCAGCCAGACUGGGACUGAGACACGGCCCAG